rnacentral:rRNA from 1 species
AAAACUUUCAACAACGGAUCUCUUGGCUCUGGCAUCGAUGAAGAACGCAGCGAAAUGCGAUACGUAAUGUGAAUUGCAGAAUUCAGCGAACCAUCGAAUCUUUGAACGCACAUUGCGCCCGCCAGCAUUCUGGCGGGCAUGCCUGUCCGAGCGU